UUCAAAUGUAUAUAUGAUGUUUGGACCCUGCCGCUGCUCUGAAGUUUAACCAAGAGACCCAGUUUUCCGACGACCACCUCGUCGCCGAUGGAGGAGGCGCAAAAACCUAGUCUCGCGCUUCUCGGCGACUCAGAACAGCGAAAGCCACAAGCGCCGAAGCGGUUCGUCCGGAGCCAAAUCCCGGACUCAAUACUCCACGACCCGGCUCUCAACGCCGCCAUAAGCCUCCUCCCCUCCAACUACCACUUCGAAGUCCACAAAUGCGUCUGGCGCGUCCGCUCCACGAACGCCUCGCGCGUCGCUCUCCAGCUGCCGGAGGGCCUCCUGAUGUACUCCCUCGUCCUCUCCGAUAUUCUCUCCACCUUCGGAGGCGCCUCCCAGUGCUUCGUUCUCGGCGACGCCACUUACGGCGCGUGCUGCGUCGACGACCUCGCCGCCAAGGCCCUCAACGCCGACCUCCUCAUUCACUUCGGCCACAGCUGCCUCGUCCCCCUCCACGUCACCUCCAUCCCCUGCCUCUACGUCUUCGUCGAAAUCUCCAUCGACGUCGGCCGGUUAAUCCAGACCGUCCAUCUCAACCUCCAAAACCCUCUCCCUAAAACCCUAGUCCUCGCCGGAACAAUCCAGUUCGCUUCGGCGAUUCGAGCGGCCAAACCCGAGCUUGAAGCCCGGGGUUUCAAGGUCUUGGUCCCACAGUCUAAGCCCUUGUCCGCCGGCGAGGUUUUGGGGUGUACAGCCCCGAAAAUCUCACGAAACCACGGCGGUGAGGACGGUGGUGACACUGUACUGGUGUUCGUGGCCGACGGCCGGUUUCAUCUGGAAGCUUUUAUGAUAGCAAAUCCAGGGGUUAAGGCGUUUCGGUACGAUCCUUAUAUGGGGAAGCUGUUUUUGGAGGAAUAUGAUCACAAAGGGAUGAGGGAGUCGAGAAAAAGCGCAGUGUUGAGAGCCAAAGAGGCCUCCAAUUGGGGCAUUGUGCUUGGGACUUUAGGAAGGCAAGGGAAUCCGAGGAUUCUACAGAGAUUGGAGAAGAAGAUGAGGGAGAAGGGGUUUGAUUAUACUGUGGUGUUAAUGUCGGAGAUUAGUCCGGCGAGAAUUGCUUUGUUUGAGGACUCUGUGGAUGCUUGGAUACAGAUUGCUUGUCCUCGACUGUCCAUUGAUUGGGGGGAUGCAUUUACAAAGCCCCUUUUGAAUCCUUUCGAGACUGACAUUGCUCUCGGCUUCAUUCCUGGUUGGUGGGAGAGGAAUAAGAAAAGUGAUUCGGGGUGCUGUGCUUGUGGUAAUGGCAAUGGGACUGCUGAAGACCUUGUAGGGGACUAUCCCAUGGAUUACUAUGCUGCGGAUGGAGGGGAGUGGAACUCCUCUUAUGUCAACAAGCCGACACGCCCUGUUCGCAGGGAUUCCGCAUUGGCAACUGCCAACAUUGAAUAGACCUUGUAGGUGAUUAUCCCUUACUACGCUCUGGAUGGGGAGAAAUGGAACUCCUGUUAUGCCAGCAAACCAACAUGCUCUCUUCGAAUGUAUUCAGGAUACUGCCACCACAGAUUAGAAUAGUGUGAGCUGAUUCUGCCAAGCUUAUCCAGUCAGGGACUAAGUUUCUUGGACUCGUUAUAGCUAUUUAAGAUGACCAGAAACAAUUUUCCAACUGCAGAGAAAAGUUAAGCCUGAUAUCUGCCUUGAUUUCUUGAAUAUCAGUUUCCAGAUAAUUACCAAAACUUCAAGGACUGUUUUUCAUUUUUUGGUAAUUAUAGUGCAAAUAGUUCAGAGAGAUAUGAGGUUCCAAUAGGCCCAAGAUAGUUAAAAUCGGUUUGUUUCCAUUUUCUACAAGCAAUGCCACAAAUGACACCAAAAAGUUUUGCUCUCAGUUUUGUAUAACCGGCGCAUCACAUGGCUAUUCUGAUGUGAUGAGUUGAACCAAUGUAAUAUCUCAUGACAUGUAUUUGUAGCAAAUCUUUUCUCUUUGCAAUUGCCAUCUCCACCAGCAACUUAUUAAAUUCCUCACACUGUUCCACUGUUCCAGAUGGUGAGCUUGAGAAAGAUGUAAUGUGAAGUUGAAGAAAAUUGCUUGACAGUCAUCUUCCUUUCCUGCUUGGAAAUUGUUGUUUAUAUCAAUUCUAUUUUUCUGGUAA